ACUGCAACAAUACAGCACAAUGAAAUUCAAUGACAGUAUGACUUAAGAUCAUUAUCAAAAUGAAACUCUAUAAUAUUAAGAUCAAUAACUAAAGUUUCAUGUGUUUGCUUUUUGUUGUUGUUUUUUUUGUUUUUUUUAUUAUUAUUAUUAUUAUCUAGAGUACUAUGCAGAGUAUUAGAAAUGAACGAAAUAAAGUAUUAAUAAGAUUUAGAAAUUUGUACUACGAACAGUCAUUGAGAAAAACACGUGUACUGGAUAAAAAGUUUAAAAGUCUGGGAGAGCACUUUUUUUAGAAGUGGGUUUUUAACAGUUUUAAAAAAAGUUUAUGUUUUUGGCAGUUGUAAUACUGAUUUUUAGAAAGAUUGUGAUCACUGGCCUUUUUUGUAAUUGGCAUGCGCUUCUCGGAAAAGGAAACAAAACUGAAAAUAACUAUAAAUAGUUCAUCAAAUUUUUUUUCUCUGUCACAUUCUAUUCUUAAACAUGAACUCUAUGUUUAAAUCUGUGUUGCAUCAUUAAAAGAAAUUGUGUCGCGCCUUUGUGAGAUUAUUAUACAAAUACACCAAAAUUAAUCCAAGUGAUUGCAUAUGUGUUGGUCAGCUUAGCGAUGACGACGCACUCCCUUCUUGGGAAUCGAGGUUAAUAUACUUUAAUUGUGUUAUUGAAAAUUAAAAGACAACGAACGAUAGAGCGAGACACAAGAUUGUCCGUCGUCUACACUACUACAAGUUCACACUGUAAAUUCCAAUAGUCUACAUGUUCAGCCGAAACAUCUUAAACGUAUAGAUACGUUAUUGCGCCGUCUAUGCACACACCCUUUCAUGACAGACGUUCAGAAUUAAAAUGAUGCUGCCGUUGGGGAGAAGAUUCGACAUGAUAUAUAUAUUUCUCUUGCUUUUAAUCAUGCUACCAACUGGAUUAUUUUCCCCAAUAUUUUCACGUAUUGAAAACAAUUCAAAUUCUAAAUUAGUUGUUUAUAUGUCCCAACCGAAUUGUGAUCAUGUUAGAAACGAAACAAUGACAUACUGUUUUCGGGAUUUACGAAGGAAGAAUAAAAGAAAUAGAGAUAAAUGUCUGCGAAAGGCGAACGAGGAACAAAAGCAGUGCAUUGAGAGAAUGUCAUUGAAAAAAUGACAUUUGGUUGCUUUCAAUUAAUUCUUUACUUGUAAGAAAGAUGGUACCCGUGUGUUACAGAUUUCAAAUGAAUGUGGUCUAAUAUGCUUCAUCUUAUCAUUAUUCCUCGUUCGAAACAUGGGAAAAUGAUUCACUUGUGCAAUAUCAAUGAGAAGAUGCAGGGAGAUGAUGAAGACUUAACGAAACCAUAUACACAGCAACACGUAGAGAGUAUGAAGAAAUAUUACAAGGGAGAUAACACCAAAUUACGAAGAAAACGCUCUCGGAGAAAGCAAUAUUAUUUCUAAUCCAUGUUUUCCAAGUUUAAUUUUCUCGUAUUGUUAUUUCCAGUCAGUAGCAUUGCUAUUUUUGAUAAUUAUUUUUGGGUGAAAUCAGGACAGAUGGGUGAAAUCCUGUGAAAUUAGAUGUUUUAUAUCUGCUGAUUUCUACCUGUUUGAACUAGUCAGUAAUAUUGUUAUUCGUGUAAAUUAUUUAUAGGGGGAUCAGGACAGAUGUGUUGUUAACUGGUGCAAUGAUAUGACAAUAUUUUAUUAUUUGUUGAUUCCCCCGCCUUUGUUUGUGAACCUCUAUUUUCGUCAUUUGUUUCCUUUAAUAAAUGAGAGAUUUAAUCUUCA